rnacentral:rRNA from 1 species
AAUUUUUAAUCAUUUUAUUAAAAUUAAUAAAAUUACAUUUAAAUCCUUUUUCAAUUAAAUAAUUUCAAUUUUAAUAUUCAUUUAAAUAAAUUUAUUGUAAUUCAUUUAUUCUAAAUUAUUAAUUACAUCUUGAUUUGAUUUAAUUUUUUAUUUAAAAUUUUAAAUAUUAUAAAAUUUAUAAAAAAUAUUUUUUUAACAAUAAUAUAUAAAUUUAUAAAUUAAGUAAAUUAAUUCGUGGAUUAUCAAUUAUUAAACAAAUUCCUCUAAAUAAAAUAAAAUACUGCCAAAUUAUUUAAGUUUCAUAUAAUAAUAUUAAUUACUAUUUUAAUAUUAAACUAUUUAAUUUAUAUAAUAGGGUA